GGGGAAUCUUGCGCAAUGGGCGAAAGCCUGACGCAGCAACGCCGCGUGAGUGAUGAAGGCCCUCGGGUCGUAAAGCUCUGUCCUGGGAGAAGAAUUUUGACGGUAUCCCAGAAGAAAGCACCGGCUAACUCCGUGCCAGCAGCCGCGGUAAUACGGAGGGUGCAAACGUUGUUCGGAAUCAUUGGGCGUAAAGGGCGCGUAGGCGGUGAAGUGUGUCUGAUGUGAAAGCCCGGGGCUUAACCCCGGAAGUGCGUCGGAAACUGCAUCACUUGAGUCUCGGAGAGGAUAACGGAAUUCCUGGUGUAGAGGUGAAAUUCGUAGAUAUCAGGAGGAACACCGGUGGCGAAGGCGGUUAUCUGGACGAAGACUGACGCUGAGGCGCGAAAGCGUGGGGAGCAAAC
rnacentral:rRNA from 1 species